GGAGGGGUGGCAGAGCGGUCGAUCGCGGCGGUCUUGAAAACCGUUGACGGCGGCGACGUCGUCCGUGGGUUCGAAUCCCACCCCCUCCGCCA
rnacentral:tRNA from 1 species